rnacentral:rRNA from 1 species
GAUGAACGCUGGCGGCGUGCCUAAUACAUGCAAGUCGAGCGAAUGGAUUAAGAGCUUGCUCUUAUGAAGUUAGCGGCGGACGGGUGAGUAACACGUGGGUAACCUGCCCAUAAGACUGGGAUAACUCCGGGAAACCGGGGCUAAUACCGGAUAACAUUUUGAACCGCAUGGUUCGAAAUUGAAAGGCGGCUUCGGCUGUCACUUAUGGAUGGACCCGCGUCGCAUUAGAUAGUUGGUGAGGUAACGGCUCACCAAGGCAACGAUGCGUAGCCGGACUGAGAGGGUGAUCGGCCACACGGGGACUGAGACACGGCCCAGACUCCUACGGGAGGCAGCAGUAGGGAAUCUUCCGCAAUGGACGAAAGUCUGACGGAGCAACGCCGCGUGAGUGAGGAAGGCUUUCGGGUCGUAAAACUCUGUUGUUAGGGAAGAACAAGUGCUAGUUGAAUAAGCUGGCACCUUGACGGUACCUAACCAGAAAGCCACGGCUAACUACGUGCCAGCCGCCGCAGUAA